GACGAACGCUGGCGGCGUGCCUAAUACAUGCAAGUUGAGCGCUGAAGGUUGGUACUUGUACUACUUGGAUGAGCAGCGAACGGGUGAGUAACGCGUGGGGAAUCUGCCUUUGAGAGGGGGACAACUUCUGGAAACGAAUGCUAAUACCGCAUAAAAACUUUAACCACAAGUUUUAAGAUUGAAAGAUGCAAUUGCAUCACUCAAUGAUGAUCUCGCGUUGUAUUAGCUAAUUGGUGAGGUAAAGGCCCACCAAGGCGAUGAUACAUAGCCGACCUGGGAGGGGAGUCGGCCCCAUUGGGACUGGAGCACGGCCCAAACCUCCACGGGGAGCAACAGUAAGGAAUCUUCGGCAAUUGACGAAAGUCUGACCGGGCAACGCCGCGUGAGUGAAGAAGGUUUUCGGAUCGUAAAACUCUGGUGGUAGAGAAGAACGUUAGGGGGAGGUGAAAGCGCAUCAAGUGACGGUAACUAACCAGAAAGGGACGGCUAACUACGUG
rnacentral:rRNA from 1 species